UACGUAGGCAGCGAGCGUUGUUCGGAGUUACUGGGCGUAAAGGGUGUGUAGGCGGUUGUUUAAGUUUGGUGUGAAAUCUCCCGGCUCAACUGGGAGGGUGCGCCGAAUACUGAAUGACUAGAGUGCGGGAGAGGAGAGUGGAAUUCCUGCUGUAGCGGUGAAAUGCGUAGAUAUCAGGAGGAACACCGGCGGUGUAGACGGCUCUCUGGACCGUAACUGACGCUGAGGCACGAAGGUCAGGGGAGCAAACGGG
rnacentral:rRNA from 1 species